rnacentral:rRNA from 1 species
UGGGGAAUAUUGGACAAUGGGCGGAAGCCUGAUCCAGCCAUGCCGCGUGAGUGAUGAAGGCCCUAGGGUUGUAAAGCUCUUUUAACGGGGAAGAUAAUGACGGUACCCGUAGAAUAAGCCCCGGCUAACUUCGUGCCAGCAGCCGCGGUAAUACGAAGGGGGCUAGCGUUGCUCGGAAUCACUGGGCGUAAAGCGCACGUAGGCGGACUCUUAAGUCGGUGGUGAAAUCCUGGAGCUCAACUCCAGAACUGCCUUCGAUACUGGGAGUCUCGAGUUCGGGAGAGGUGAGUGGAACUGCGAGUGUAGAGGUGAAAUUCGUAGAUAUUCGCAAGAACACCAGUGGCGAAGGCGGCUCACUGGCCCGAUACUGACGCUGAGGUGCGAAAGCGUGGGGAGCAAACA